rnacentral:rRNA from 1 species
UGGGGAAUAUUGCACAAUGGGCGAAAGCCUGAUGCAGCAACGCCGCGUGAGUGAUGAAGGUCUUCGGAUUGUAAAGCUCUGUCUUUUGGGACGAUAAUGACGGUACCAAAGGAGGAAGCCACGGCUAACUACGUGCCAGCAGCCGCGGUAAUACGUAGGUGGCGAGCGUGUCCGGAUUUACUGGGCGUAAAGGGUGCGUAGGCGGAUGUUUAAGUGAGAUGUGAAAUACCCGGGCUUAACUUGGGUGCUGCAUUUCAAACUGGAUAUCUAGAGUGCAGGAG